rnacentral:rRNA from 1 species
UACGUAGGUGGCGAGCGUUGUCCGGAUUUAUUGGGCGUAAAGAGCGUGUAGGCGGCCAGAUAGGUCAGCUGUGAAAACUCGAGGCUCAACCUCGAGAUGUCGGCUGAAACCAUCUGGCUAGAGUCCGGAAGAGGAGAAUGGAAUUCCCGGUGUAGCGGUGAAAUGCGCAGAUAUCGGGAAGAACACCCGUGGCGAAGGCGGUUCUCUGGGACGGUACUGACGCUGAGACGCGAAAGCGUGGGGAGCGAACAGG